UGGUUAUUUAGUUUAAUUAAAAUGUGGGUUUUGUAAGCCUAAGAUAGUGUGUUGCUAUUGACCU
rnacentral:tRNA from 1 species